AAGACUAUAGACCUGCGGAGUACCUGCGGAAGGAUCAUUAGUGAACGCCCUCACGGGCUUAUAACUAUUCCAAACCUCUGUGAACCGUGCCCUUCGGGGCUAUUUUACAAACAUGGUGUAAUGAACGUCAUAUAUCAUAACAAAACAAAACUUUUAACAAUGGAUCUCU
rnacentral:misc_RNA from 1 species